UACGUAGGGGGCAAGCGUUGUCCGGAAUCAUUGGGCGUAAAGAGCGUGUAGGCGGCUUUACAGGUCCGUUGUGAAACUCGAGGCUCAACCUCGAGACGCCGGUGGAAACCGUAAGGCUAGAGUCCGGAAGAGGAGAGUGGAAUUCCUGGUGUAGCGGUGAAAUGCGCAGAUAUCAGGAGGAACACCAGCGGCGAAGGCGGCGACCUGGUCCGAUACUGACGCUGAGGCGCGAAAGCGUGGGGAGCAAACAGG
rnacentral:rRNA from 1 species